AGCGGAGCGUGUGGUUUAAUUCGAGGCUACGCGAAGAACCUUACCUGGGUUUGACAUGGUGGUAGUACGGAAGCGAAAGCGGAAGGACCCUUCGGGGAGCCACCACAGGUGCUGCAUGGUUGUCGUCAGCUCGUGCCGUGAGGUGUUCGGUUAAGUCCGCAAACGAGCGCAACCCUCGGUGCUAGUUAUACGUGUCUAGCAUGACUGCCCGUGACAAACGGGAGGAAGGUGGGGAUGACGUCAAAUCAGCAUGGCCUUAAUAUCC
rnacentral:rRNA from 1 species